rnacentral:rRNA from 1 species
GUGUCAGCAGCCGCGGUAAAACGUAGGACACGAGCGUUAUCCGGAGUUACUGGGCGUAAAGGGCGUGCAGGCGGUUGGGUAAGACUGAUGUGAAAGCGCCCGGCUUAACCGGGCGAGGACAUUGGUGACUGCGCGACUAGAGGCAGAUAGAGGGGUGUAGAAUUCCGGGUGUAGUGGUGAAAUGCGUAGAGAUCCGGAGGAAUACCAGAGGCGAAGGCGGCACCCUGGGUCUGACCUGACGCUGAGACGCGACAGCAUGGGGAGCGAACGGGAUUAGAUACCCCAGUAGUCC